GGCAAGAUGGCCGAGCGGUCUAAGGCGCCAGACUCAAGAGACGAUCUUGCUUACGAAACGUAGGUACUUCUGGUAUCGAAAGAUGCGUGGGUUCAAAUCCCACUCUUGUCA